CCCAGGUGCCCUGGUUACUUUAAUAUUUUAAACCAUUCCUGCCCCAGCAAGAAUUAUUGGCAAUAAACCGAGAUACAAUUUUCUUUAUUAUCAUUAAGUCCCUCCACACACAUUACAUACAUACAUAUACAUCCAAACAGUUUCGAAUAUUCCAUUGGAUCAAAAUCCUAAAAACUUCUAGAUUAACAGCAGACCUAAAAAGAAGUUAGAAGAACGUGCAGAAAUUGGUACGUCCAUGAUGCCUGAAGAGGGAACUUCAAAACAGAAGUAGGAGACUUUUCAUCAUCCAUUCUUUUGUAUCUUUUGAAUUUUUUGCCACAUGCAUUUAUUACCUCUUCAGUUUAAACAUUUUUUUUUUAAGCAAGAGAAGAGUUUUCCUUUUUCUUUCUUCCCCCACAGGCCUCUCUGCAGCCUGGGCGUAGAGGAGACCAUGACUGGCCGGCAUCACAUCCGGAAGCCACCCCUCAGCCCAGGCCCUGCCCCAGACCAGGUCCCAGCCCUCCAGCCUGGCUGGGGGAGAGCCCUGCUCCGGUUCCCCUGCACGUGGAGGGGUUCCGCAGGGUCAGCAGAGCCCACGUGAGGGCAAGCUGUCCCCCAGCAGGCCAUGGGAAGGUGUGGGCAAGGGGACAAUUGAGAAGCCAUGGAAGAGUCAGACAAGGAGCAGCAGAUGGAGACGUGCACUUGACAGAGUGGACACAAGAGAUGAAAAGGUACAGAGUAUGAGAAAACGGCUUCAGGAAGGAAAAAGCAGGGAGUGAAAACCAGUAAAAGUGUAACGAAUACUAAAACCAGACAGGCCCGAAAAGAAGCCAUCAGGAGAGCUUCGAGAAGAGGCAGGUCAGAGAGGAGGAGCAGGAGGGCUGGGAGGGGGCAGUGUGUGAGGGGCUGGGGGCAGGAGGAACGGUGCGACAGAAAUCUCUUGGGAAGGGUCGUUCACCUCCCAAGCAGUUGGGCUUAUUGGCUGCGGCCAGCAGAAUCUAUUUAAAACACAGCAGGCAUUUUGCCUUGGUCUGUUUCCCUCUCCAGGGAAGGCUGGAGCCAAAGGCUUCGGGAACCAUUCCAGCAUUAGGACCCUGCACAAACACCAGAGCUGAGAGCAUAAGAUCCUUGCCCCCUCUGGGGAUCAGUCCCCUCUCCCCUGCCACAUGCUGCCAGGCCACUAAACGCACAGUACAUUGAUCUGUGCCCCAAAGGCUGCUUGUGUUCUCGCUUCCACUGGGAAAGUCUCAGUGACUUCCUUCUUUUUGUCUUCAAGCUUGUCAGAAAGCAGAUGCUACUCAAAUGUGACAGCUGCUCUAAAGGGCUGCUCACAGCGAGCUCCUUGACCAGUAGGAACAUGCGCAAUCAUGACUGGAGAGGCCUUGGGUGAUGGGAUAGCAGCAAGACAAAGAGGAGAGCACCGAAGGACAUCACAGGUGAAAUGGCCCCAGGGAAACCACAUGGGACCUGAACUGGAAAACAGCAGCCUCACGCCUUUCCCUGGACUGUGUAUCUUUGGGAAGCUCUAAUCUGGGGAAGCCCUGACUCCUCAUCCACCUGCCACAGAGGAGUGCAAAGUAAGGCCAGGAGCUAAAACUGGCUGAGAGAGCCGUCCGUCCAUCAGGCUUUGGUUUCUCUCCAUUUGAGAGGGUUGGGAAUGAGAAGUCUUCCUUCCCUGGCUUCUGAGCACAUAAAUUGUGUAAAAUACUGUUCCAGGCUGAAUAUAAGUUCUCUGCUCUGCAUGACAUUUAUAUUCUUGAAAAUUUUAGUGUACAAAUCAAAUCAAAUUUUGUCUGCCAGAGAAGCUGGCUUUUCAAAAUGAAUCUGAGGUUGGGGUGCCUGGGUGGCUCAGUCGGUUAGGCCUCCGACUUCGGCUCAGGUCAGAUCUCACGUUUGUGGGUUCGAGCCCCGUGUCAGGCUCUGUGCUGACAGCUAGCUCAGAGCCUGGAGCCUGCUUCUGGUUCUGUGUCUCCUUCUCUCUCUGCCCCUCCCCCUCUCAUGCUCUGUCUAUCAAAACUAAAUAAAACAUUAAAAAAUAAAUAAAUAAAUAAAUAAAUCUGAGGUCAACCCUAUAUUUAAAGAGAAGAAUGACCUGUGAAGGUGAAUAAUUAUCCCAGUUCACGUGUGUAACCUUGGAAUAGUGGAUGUCUGAUUUGGGUGGCUGGGGUGGGGUGAGGACUGUCUAGAGAUCCACCUAUGGUCUGUUUAUAGGUUGCAAUUAAACAUUACUUUAAAACAAACAAAAAACAUGCAGAUCACUGCUAAAGAAAUACAGAUUUUUUUAAAAAGUUGAUUAUGGAAAAUUCAAAUACACAUUUUAAAAGAAGCAAGCCUAAUUUAAAAAAAAAAAAAAAGCCCAGAGGGGCACCUGGAUGGCUCAGUUGGUUGGGUGUCUGUCUUUGGCUUAGGUCAUGAUCUCACGGUUCAUGGGUUUGAGCCCUGCAUCAGGCCCUGUGCUGACAGCUAGCUCAGAGCCUGGAGCCUGCUUCAGAUUCUAUGUCUCCCUCUCUCUCUGACCCUCCCCUGCUCAUAUAGUCUCUCUCUGUCUCUCAGAAAUAAAUAAAAAAUAAAAAAACCCAGCUCCAACAAUCAUCACUCAUGGCCAAUCCUGUGAGAAACUUGGACUUCUGGGCCAGNNNNNNNNNNNNNNNNNNNNNNNNNNNNNNNNNNNNNNNNNNNNNNNNNNNNNNNNNNNNNNNNNNNNNNNNNNNNNNNNNNNNNNNNNNNNNNNNNNNNAUGUGACAACGGAGCAAAGUGCCCAGACUCAGAUGCCCAAUCUUUAUCCCAUUUUGACCUGGAUUUUCUGCCUUACAGUAAUUUGCUAAGGUAGGUGAGUGCACAACCUUCCAAUCCCAGGCUGUUCUACAUGACAUAAGAAACCCCAGUCCUGAGAGUUGGGUAACUGGACUUGGUGGGGGUGGGGGCAGGAGUCGCAGUCCCGGAGCCUGAGGGGCUGGCACCGGCGCUAAGCCCAAAGCCCUGAGUGGGAGCCUGGCCAAGGCUCGCACACCACACCCCACCUGCGCGCCAGCAUCCCGAUCUACAUGGAGGUGGGCCCCACCAUGGUGGGCGACGAGCACUCAGAUCCAGAGCCGCUGUGGUAUCUGGGGGCCUCAGUUUCUAGAAAGCAUCUUGGGAAACAAUUUUUGUGAGUACUUCAUCAGUGACCCUCCUCACACAGUCCUGGACAAGCUGGAAUGCAAAGGUUUCCGUGUGCUGAGUGUGACAGAGGGGGCCAGACACUGGUGUGGUGUCUACACACGGGGUGACUCACACUGAGGAGUGGAUGGGGCACUCCUUUUUUGAGUGGUUUCCAAUCCUGAGUCCCCCAUUCACUCACUGUCUGGCCCCUCGUACCAAAUCAUCACUUUGCUCAGCUGGGCACCACUGAGCAGUGAACGGCCUUCUCUGAAACUUCCUAUAGCCAGUGGGAGAAGGCAGGGCCCUUGUCCUGGUGCUUCCACAGGUGCCCCUCCAGCUUCAGGCCUGGC
rnacentral:lncRNA from 1 species